AUAUUAUGUAAUAUGUUUAUGAUAAUUUUAAAUAUAUUUAAUCUUUAUAUAAAAUUAUAAUAAUAAUAAUAUAUAUAUAUAGUAUAUUAAUUAUUAUAUAUUAAUAAUAUAUAUAAUAAAAAUAUAUUAAUUAUUUUUUCAUCUAUUUUUUUUUCCUUCAACGAAAUAACUAUCAUGAAAAACUAUUUUUUUUUCCUACAAACCAAACACUAAACGACGUAAAAAUUUUUUUUCACCGAAAAUUUUUUUCUACAGUUUUACAUGGAAUUAAACACUCCCUUACUCUCUAAAAAUUAUUAUUUACAUGAAAUAUUCUUUUUUCUUCUAAAUAUUUCUGCAGUACCUUGUUAAGCGGCUUGUGAUUUAAUAUAGGUAAAAAUGUAUAAAACCUACAUUAACUAUUGGCCAUUUUUGAACCAACUAUUUAAUUUUUCAAAUUUUAAUUUUGCUAUCUAGUCUUUCAAUUUAUUUAAUUUACAUCACUCAACAGCACUUUUGAUUUCAAAAUUUGAAUGCAUUGUUUAUCUUUACAAGUUAGCCAGUAUACUUCAUAUAAUUCUUGCAACUAUAAAUUUAUUAAAAUAAAAAAAUUAGCGUAAGUUAAGUUAAAGUGCUAUUAACUAAUUCAAACCAAAUAAUUGAAAGGUUGGCUAGUAAAAUAAAAAAUUU
rnacentral:lncRNA from 1 species